AUGGAGAUCGCCACGACGCCGCCGGAGUUCCGCUUCGAUGGCGCGGUCCUCGAUGACGACGCCUACCCCGCGGGGUCCGCGAGCAUCAGGAACCCGUUCGGUUCCGCCGAUGCGUUGGAGGCCGGCAACCCGUUCCUGGCCACCACGGCGGUGACCGCGCCCCCGUCGCCCAACCCGUUCGGGCUCCUCCCGCCCGAUGUCUCCGCCGACGGCCUCUCCGACGGCGCCGACCCCUUCGACCUCUUCCAGCACUUCGCCAGCGCCCCCGCCAGCCCGGAGCGCGCGGCUGCCAUAUACGCGCAGUUCUCCGGCGCCGGCGACGGUGGCGACGGCUUCCAGCCCCGCGCGUCGUACUCUACGCGCCGCACGGUCGAAUCCGCCGUGCCGUUCGACUGGGAGGAGAAGCCGGGGACACCGAAGCCCGGGGUCGGCUCCGGUGCGACGGCGACCGGGGACGGUGAGAACGCGGACUUCGACUUCGGCAUCCUCCUGGACCGGAGCGCGCAGGAGCCGGAUCAGCUGACGACGGCGGACGAGCUCUUCGACGAAGGCAAGAUCCGGCCGCUCAAGCCGCCGCCGCGUCUGCUCGACGGCGGCAGCGUGGGCUCGUCGCCACGGUCGGCCAGGUCCGCGAUGUGGUCUCCCCGGCUUCGGGGCCUGACCGGGCCCGGUCCGGACUUCGACCCGUUCGCCACAGCCAUGGCGAACGCGUCCAAGGCGGCCGCGCCAUCCCCCCUCGGCCCCGGCGUCAAAGACGCAGUGCCCGACACCGCAACAGACACCUUGCCGAUGAAUCCCGAUUCCGUCGCGUCGCCACGCUCCGUCCCACCGACCGCGAACAAUGGCGGCAGGAAGAAAUGGCGGCUCAGCGACCUGCUCCUGUUCCGGAGGCUAUCGGCCAAAGGACGCGCCGGGGGCAGCACCAUCAGCAGGGAGCCGGUGUUCAAGUACUCGCCGGUGCAACAUCUGGGCACGCCGGUCAAGAAGACAGAACCCGUGGGUGCCACUGCCAAUGGCGACGCCCCGGCGGGCGGGAAGCAGAAGAAGCAAAACAAGUUCAGCGCGACGGCGGGGGCAGAAGACGGCGCAGCGCGGCACGGGCUGAGCCUGAUGGGGUGCGUCCGGCUGAACCCCGGGCUGCACCGGCUGGCCAAGGGCCUCAACGGGUCCUCCACGUCGCACUUAGGCCGCCGCACCGCCAGGGCGGCCAUGCACAGCGGGUAA
rnacentral:rRNA from 1 species